AGUCGAGCGGUAGAGAGGUGCUUGCACCUCUUGAGAGCGGCGGACGGGUGAGUAAAGCCUAGGAAUCUGCCUGGUAGUGGGGGAUAACGCUCGGAAACGGACGCUAAUACCGCAUACGUCCUACGGGAGAAAGCAGGGGACCUUCGGGCCUUGCGCUAUCAGAUGAGCCCAGGUCGGAUUAGCUAGUUGGUGAGGUAAUGGCUCACCAAGGCGACGAUCCGUAACUGGUCUGAGAGGAUGAUCAGUCACACUGGAACUGAGACACGGUCCAGACUCCUACGGGAGGCAGCAGUGGGGAAUAUUGGACAAUGGGCGAAAGCCUGAUCCAGCCAUGCCGCGUGUGUGAAGAAGGUCUUCGGAUUGUAAAGCACUUUAAGUUGGGAGGAAGGGCAUUAACCUAAUACGUUAGUGUUUUGACGUUACCGACAGAAUAAGCACCGGCUAACUCUGUGCCAGCAGCCGCGGUAAUACAGAGGGUGCAAGCGUUAAUCGGAAUUACUGGGCGUAAAGCGCGCGUAGGUGGUUCGUUAAGUUGGAUGUGAAAUCCCCGGGCUCAACCUGGGAACUGCAUUCAAAACUGUCGAGCUAGAGUAUG
rnacentral:rRNA from 1 species